rnacentral:tRNA from 1 species
UAGUCGCCGUGGCGCAGCUGCGCGUUUCCGUUCGACGCGGGAUCGGAGAGCGACAGCCCGUCGGUGCCCACGUUCUGGUCCGCGAAGCGGCCGU